UGGGGAAUAUUGCACAAUGGGGGAAACCCUGAUGCAGCGACGCCGCGUGGAGGAAGAAGGUCUUCGGAUUGUAAACUCCUGUUGUUGGGGAAGAUAAUGACGGUACCCAACAAGGAAGUGACGGCUAACUACGUGCCAGCAGCCGCGGUAAUACGUAGGGAGCAAGCGUUGUCCGGAUUUACUGGGUGUAAAGGGUGCGUAGGCGGCUUUGCAAGUCAGAUGUGAAAUCUAUGGGCUCAACCCAUAAACUGCAUUUGAAACUGUAGAGCUUGAGUGAAGUAGAGGCAGGCGGAAUUCCCCGUGUAGCGGUGAAAUGCGUAGAGAUGGGGAGGAACACCAGUGGCGAAGGCGGCCUGCUGGGCUUUAACUGACGCUGAGGCACGAAAGCGUGGGUAGCAAACAGGAUUAGAUACCCUGGUAGUCCACGCUGUAAACGAUGAUUACUAGGUGUGGGGGGUCUGACCCCUUCCGUGCCGGAGUUAACACAAUAAGUAAUCCACCUGGGGAGUACGGCCGCAAGGUUGAAACUCAAAGGAAUUGACGGGGGCCCGCACAAGCAGUGGAGUAUGUGGUUUAAUUCGAAGCAACGCGAAGAACCUUACCAGGUCUUGACAUCCAACUAACGAAGUAGAGAUACAUUAGGUGCCCUUCGGGGAAAGUUGAGACAGGUGGUGCAUGGUUGUCGUCAGCUCGUGUCGUGAGAUGUUGGGUUAAGUCCCGCAACGAGCGCAACCCUUGCUAUUAGUUGCUACGCAAGAGCACUCUAAUAGGACUGCCGUUGACAAAACGGAGGAAGGUGGGGACGACGUCAAAUCAUCAUGCCCCUUAUGACCUGGGCUACACACGUACUACAAUGGAUGUUAACAGAGGGAAGCAAGACAGCGAUGUGGAGCAAACCCCUAAAAACAUUCUCAGUUCAGAUUGCAGGCUGCAACCCGCCUGCAUGAAGAUGGAAUUGCUAGUAAUCGCGGAUCAGCAUGCCGCGGUGAAUACGUUCCC
rnacentral:rRNA from 1 species